rnacentral:rRNA from 1 species
CUCGAGGCCAGAUCUAGAGUUUGAUCCUGGCUGAGAGCGAACGCUGGCGGCAGGCUUAACACAUGCAAGUCGAGCGGGCACUUUCGGGUGUCAGCGGCAGACGGGUGAGUAACACGUGGGAACGUACCCUUUGGUUCGGAAUAACGCUGGGAAACUAGCGCUAAUACCGGAUACGCCCUUUUGGGGAAAGGCUUGCUGCCGAAGGAUCGGCCCGCGUCUGAUUAGCUAGUUGGUGGGGUAAUGGCCUACCAAGGCGACGAUCAGUAGCUGGUCUGAGAGGAUGAUCAGCCACACUGGGACUGAGACACGGCCCAGACUCCUACGGGAGGCAGCAGUGGGGAAUAUUGGACAAUGGGCGCAAGCCUGAUCCAGCCAUGCCGCGUGAGUGAUGAAGGCCUUAGGGUUGUAAAGCUCUUUUGUCCGGGACGAUAAUGACGGUACCGGAAGAAUAAGCCCCGGCUAACUUCGUGCCAGCAGCCGCGGUAAU